AUUGGGAGAAACGCCACUGUCUGUCAACUUCUGGACCAGGUGUUUCCUCAUACUGAACAAAAACCCAAAUGAUUCAGUUCUCAUGCCGAAGUUCAGACAACAAAUCAUCCACAUGGUGUGAAGGAGGCUGUGUGGGUUAUCACUUCCGAGGGUCUUGACAUCGUACAUGGCAUCAAUAUCCGUAUCUGACAGCUCUUCAGCAGCCUUGGAUCUCGAAGAAACCUUGAAACAUCAUCAUCACUGAUAGAUUGAUACCCUUUUAUCACCAAGUAUGCUGUAAUCUAUUGCAGAUAAUAAAUUAUCC
rnacentral:lncRNA from 1 species